UUUGCCCAUCUUGCAGAAGCUGGAGCAACAGUACACUGUGCAGGAAGGUGACUCUGCGUUCACAAGGAGCAUCAAGGAGAACAUUUGGAAGGAUCUCUCCAAACGCUACCAGGGAACUGACAUUCAGAGAUUCCUGGAGGAAGCCACCAUCUUGGACCCCAGAUUUAAAUACAAAGUGAAAAGUGAUGCAGUCUGGGACAGGAUCAGGGAAGCUGCAAUAACAGCAAAUACAGUGGCAGCAAGAGAUGAGCUCCCAGGGGAAGGAGAGACACAGAGGGAAGGCUGCGAAGAUGGGGAGGAGGAAGAAGUAGAGGAACACUAUGCACUGCCACCACCAUCAAAAAAGACAGCCUUGGAAGAACUAUUCGAGGAGGAGGACAACGAGCUGCAGUCAAUCCGUGAAUCACAGCCCCGUCUUUCCCUGGC